rnacentral:rRNA from 1 species
UACGUAGGGUGCAAGCGUUUAAUCGGAAUUACUGGGCGUAAAGCGUGCGCAGGCGGUUUUGUAAGUCUGUCGUGAAAUCCCCGGGCUCAACCUGGGAAUUGCGAUGGAGACUGCAAGGCUAGAAUCUGGCAGAGGGGGGGUAGAAUUCCACGUGUAGCAGUGAAAUGCGUAGAGAUGUGGAGGAACACCGAUGGCGAAGGCAGCCCCCCUGGGUCAAGAUUGACGCUCAUGCACGAAAGCGUGGGGAGCAAACAGG